rnacentral:rRNA from 1 species
CAGUAGCCGGGUAAAACGUAGGUCCCGAGCGUUGUCCGGAUUUAUUGGGCGUAAAGCGAGCGCAGGCGGUUAGAUAAGUCUGAAGUUAAAGGCUGUGGCUUAACCAUAGUACGCUUUGGAAACUGUUUAACUUGAGUGCGAGAGGGGAGAGUGGAAUUCUAUGUGUAGCGGUGAAAUGCGUAGAUAUAUGGAGGAACACCGGUGGCGAAAGCGGCUCUCUGGCUUGUAACUGACGCUGAGGCACGAAAGCGUGGGGAGCAAACAGGAUUAGAUACCCCAGUAGUCCCUGUCUCUUAUACAC